rnacentral:rRNA from 1 species
GAGACCUAUGGGCUUAGUUAUAAGAAUUAGGUAAAAAGGUAGUUAGAUUAAAUUGUAGUUUUUAAAUAACUUUAUAUAUGGGUUAAAUCAAUAUAUGGGUGUAUAUUUUUUAAAAGCGUUAAUUGAAGCUGCUAAGAUUUAGAUUUAAACUAGGAUUAGAUACCCUAUUAUACUUAAUUUUAAUACUAUUAUAUACCAGGGGAUUACGAAUAGUGUAUUUUAAACUCAAAGUACUUGGCGGUGUUUAUUAGAUAUUUAGGGGAACUUGUUUCGUGAUCGAUAAUCCUCGCUAUGCCUUACCUCUUUAGGCUGGUCAGUUUGUAUACCGUCGUUGUAAGUUAACUUUUAAAAAUUUAUUAGUUAUCUGGUAAAAUAGUUUUAUUUUAGAUAUCAGAUCAAGGUGCAGCUUAUGAGGAGUGAUAGAUAAUGAGUUACAAUUAUGGACUUGUAAGAUGGAGAUAAUGAUUAAAGUUUUUGUUGAAGGUGGACUUAAUAGUAAAUUAUUUUUGAAAAAUGUUUUGAAUAAAAGCUAAGACAUGU